rnacentral:rRNA from 1 species
AUUGAACGCUGGCGGCAGGCCUAACACAUGCAAGUCGAACGAGUGGCGGACGGGUGAGUAAUGUCUGGGAAACUGCCUGAUGGAGGGGGAUAACUACUGGAAACGGUAGCUAAUACCGCAUACCAUCAGAUGUGCCCAGAUGGGAUUAGCUUGUUGGUGGGGUAACGGCUCACCAGGGCGACGAUCCCUAGCUGGUCUGAGAGGAUGACCAGACACACGGGAACUGAGACACGGUCCUGACUCCUACGGGAAGCAGCAGUGGGGAAUAGUGAACAAUGGGCGCAAGCAUGAUGCAGCCAUGCGGCGUGUAUGAAGAAGGCCUGCGGGUUGUAAAGUACUGUCAGCGGGGAGGCGUUACCCGCAGAAGGAGCACCGGCUAACUCCGUGCCAGCAGCCGCGGUAAUUC